rnacentral:tRNA from 1 species
AGCCCUGUGGCCAAAUGGAUAAGGCGCGUCUGAUUACGGAUCAGAAGAUUCCAGGUUCGAAUCCUGGCGGGGUCG